AUUGAACGCUGGCGGCAUGCCUUACACAUGCAAGUCGAACGGCAGCGCGGGAGCAAUCCUGGCGGCGAGUGGCGAACGGGUGAGUAAUAUAUCGGAACGUGCCCAUUAGUGGGGGAUAGCCCGGCGAAAGCCGGAUUAAUACCGCAUACGACCUGAGGGUGAAAGCGGGGGAUCGCAAGACCUCGCGCUAUUGGAGCGGCCGAUAUCAGAUUAGCUAGUUGGUGGGGUAAAGGCCUACCAAGGCAACGAUCUGUAGUUGGUCUGAGAGGACGACCAGCCACACUGGGACUGAGACACGGCCCAGACUCCUACGGGAGGCAGCAGUGGGGAAUUUUGGACAAUGGGUGCAAGCCUGAUCCAGCAAUGCCGCGUGCAGGAAGAAGGCCUUCGGGUUGUAAACUGCUUUUGUCAGGGAAGAAAUCCUUUGGGCUAAUACCUCGGAGGGAUGACGGUACCUGAAGAAUAAGCACCGGCUAACUACGUGCCAGCAGCCGCGGUAA
rnacentral:rRNA from 1 species